rnacentral:rRNA from 1 species
UCCUGACUGACCGAUAGUGAACCAGUACCGUGAGGGAAAGGCGAAAAGAACCCCGGCGAGGGGAGUGAAAAAGAACCUGAAACCGUGUACGUACAAGCAGUGGGAGCCUCUUAAUGGGGUGACUGCGUACCUUUUGUAUAAUGGGUCAGCGACUUAUAUUCUGUAGCAAGGUUAACCGAAUAGGGGAGCCGAAGGGAAACCGAGUCUUAACUGGGCGUUAAGUUGCAGGGUAUAGACCCGAAACCCGGUGAUCUAGCCAUGGGCAGGUUGAAGGUUGGGUAACACUAACUGGAGGACCGAACCGACUAAUGUUGAAAAAUUAGCGGAUGACUUGUGGCUGGGGGUGAAAGGCCAAUCAAACCGGGAGAUAGCUGGUUCUCCCCGAAAGCUAUUUAGGUAGCGCCUCGUGAAUUCAUCUCCGGGGGUAGAGCACUGUUUCGGCAAGGGGGUCAUCCCGACUUACCAACCCGAUGCAAACUGCGAAUACCGGAGAAUGUUAUCACGGGAGACACACGGCGGGUGCUAACGUCCGUCGUGAAGAGGGAAACAACCCAGACCGCCAGCUAAGGUCCCAAAGUCAUGGUUAAGUGGGAAACGAUGUGGGAAGGCCCAGACAGCCAGGAUGUUGGCUUAGAAGCAGCCAUCAUUUAAAGAAAGCGUAAUAGCUCACUGGUCGAGUCGGCCUGCGCGGAAGAUGUAACGGGGCUAAACCAUG